GACAGAGGGUGCAAACGUUGUUCGGAAUUACUGGGCGUAAAGCGAGUGUAGGCGGUUCGCCAAGUCGGAUGUGAAAGCCCUGGGCUCAACCCAGGAAGUGCACUCGAAACUGGCGAGCUAGAGUACUGGAGAGGUUGGUGGAAUUCUCGGUGUAGAGGUGAAAUUCGUAGAUAUCGAGAGGAACACCGGUGGCGAAGGCGGCCAACUGGACAGAUACUGACGCUGAGACUCGAAAGCGUGGGGAGCAAACAGG
rnacentral:rRNA from 1 species